rnacentral:rRNA from 1 species
AGAAUGAACGCUGGCGGCGUGCUUAACACAUGCAAGUCGAGCGAGGCCUGGGGGCAACUCCCAGAGUCGAGCGGCGGACGGGUGAGUAACACGUGGGUAACCUACCCGGAAGUGGGGAAUACCUCGGGGAAACUCGAGCUAAUACCGCAUGACAUCUUUGGGACGAAAGUCCUGACGAUCAAAGCGGGUCGCAAGAUCUCGCGCUACCGGAUGGGCCCGCGCCCGAUUAGCUAGUUGGUGAGGUAACGGCUCACCAAGGCUUCGAUC